AGCCGCAGCGCCAGCAACCAAAGUCACAACGCCAGAGAAGGUUCCAGUGAGUACCCACCCGACGCUGCUUGGAUCUCCCGCUGACGCUGUCUGCUCUGCCUUUGUGCACAGCGCGUGCUCCAAUCUGCCCUGAUCGCCAGAGUUCCUGCGGAGUCGGAGAUAUGUGUAUUUACUCUGCUCGCAGCUUGUCCAGGCUGUCUUGGCAGGACGGACCCGCAUACUUAUGGCUCCCGGCAGAGGAACCCAAUCCUCAGCCUCUUCAAGGUGAAGUUAUUACUGCAGUGGCCAGAAUAAUGAGACAAAUUGGAGACAAGCUGUUUUUGAAAUAUCUAGUAGGCACGUUGUUGUCCCAUUUUGAAGAUCCUCAGAAUAUUUCCUUACCAAGGAUGUCAGCGGAAAUGGGAAUGUUUUGGGAAUGAGGAGUUUUUUGGUGAAUGCGCACAAGAAUAUCCAUAACAGAAAAGGAUACUUGGAACCUUGGUGAAUGCACACAAGAAUAUCCAUAACAGAAAAGGAUGCUUGGAACCUGAAGCUUUUUUUGUUCGAUUUCAGUGCCACUUACUGAUACAGAUGAUCUACUUCGUGAACAGUGUCUCAGCCUCUUUGUAGGAUUGAACGGGAUUUGUGGUUCAAUCUGCCUACCAUCAAAAGAUCAUGUACAUUUCCAACUAAAGUGUGUUGGUAAAACAAGCCACAUUUUGUCCGGAUUCUUCCCGAAAUGAGAUUGCUAGGACUGACUUGGAAGAGUAUUUGUAGAUUUGUAGAUUUAAAGAAAAAGAAUUUUCCAAAGUUGAAUUGUAUGGUGAGAAAUUUUUUUAUCUGUGAAUUUGUUAACUUCUGUAUGACAUUCAGUGUUGGAUCUGUUAAAA